rnacentral:rRNA from 1 species
GAUGAACGCUGGCGGCGUGCCUAAUACAUGCAAGUCGAGCGAACAGAUGAGGCUCUUGCUCGGCUUACGUGAGCGGCGGACGGGUGAUUAACACGUGUAUAACCUGCCUAUGAGACUGGGAUAACGUCGGGAAACCGGAUCUAACACCGGAUAAUAUGUUGAACCGCAGGGUUCAUUAGAGAAAGACGUUUUUGCUGUCACUUGGAGGGGGUACCUCGCCGCAGUAGUUAGUUGGUAAGGUAACGGCUUACCAAGGCAACGAUGCGUAGCCGAUCUGUGAGGGUGGUCGGCCAAACUGGAAGCUGAAACCGGUCCAGACUCCUACGGGAGGCAGCAGUAGGGGAUUGUCGGCAAUGGGGGAAAGCCUGACGGCGGCAAGGCGGGUGGGUGAUAGAAGUUUUGGGAUCGUAAAACCAUGUUAUGAGGGAAGAAAAAAUGUGUAAUUAACUCUGCACGGCUUGACGGUAACUAAUAAGAAAGCCACGGCUAACUACGUG